GACAGAGGGUGCAAACGUUGCUCGGAAUUACUGGGCGUAAAGCGCGUGUAGGUGGAUUGGUGUGUCAGAUGUGAAAGCCCUGGGCUCAACCCAGGAACUGCACCUGAAACUACCAGUCUUGAGUGGUGGAGAGGGGAGUGGAAUUCCUGGUGUAGAGGUGAAAUUCGUAGAUAUCAGGAGGAACACCAGUGGCGAAGGCGGCUUCCUGGACACCAACUGACGCUGAGACGCGAAAGCGUGGGGAGCAAACAGG
rnacentral:rRNA from 1 species